rnacentral:lncRNA from 1 species
AUCAUGCUGAUGGAGUUGCUGGAGCUGGAGCUGAUGGUGUGGAUGGAGUUGGAGGACUAGAGCAAUGUUGCUUCAAAAGACCGCCGAAAAAUGGGUUGCUAAAAUGAGCAAAAAUAGGUGACACGCAGUCCUGCUUAAUGGCAUCAACAACGCUGCAGCAACUGGCGUCGAGAUUGAUGUUAUGGGAAGCAUAAGAGUGCAGAAUCUGGUUCACACAGCCUUGUUCGACAUGGAAAUCUUGUAAGCAUUUUUGAGAAUUGGAAUCUGUGGGAGGAAGUUUUGGGUGUGGGAAGCCAGCAGGCAGUGGUGGAAAUGCACGGCCAUGGCCAAUCCAUGGGAAUGAUCGUCGAGGAAAUGAAGGAAACGAUGGUUUAUUGGGUGAUCCUCCAUCGGAAGGUGGUGCUGGUGCGGCAUCAUCAGCAGCUGUUGCUGAGUAAACAAUGAAAAGUAGCAGAAUUGCAGACACUUUCUUCAUCAUUUUUGCUUGGUAGGUACCAACGAAAUGCUUGAGUGAAGUGAAAUGAGAAACUUGGUACCCUCUUUAUAAGAGGUAAAGGAGCAACUCUUAUUGUUUUUGGGAUAUUAUGUUAUUGGUUUAUAGUCAGUUUCAUGUAUUUUUUCUUCUAAAUAUUUCAAUUUUAGUGGUAAUAUCCUAACUGAGAUGAUUAUUUCAAAGAUAGAUUUUAAAAGUUUAUCUUCUAAUUUUGCAAUUUAGCACUUAAGGAUUGAGAUACUAGUGUUAGUGUGUACUAUGUCCACCUUUAAUAACAGUUUUACUUGCAAAUAGAAAUUAAUAAAAGUUUGAUUUUCUACGGCUUAAAAACACAUGGCAUGAUAUGAUAUGAUUUACUCAAAUAGUAAUAUAACAACUGGGAAGAAUUUUCCAUAUACUAAACUCAAAUAGUAAUAUCGACCUGAAUUUGAAUUAAUCUCAAUUACUCAAAUAUUUUUAUCGAGCUAAAUUUGAAUAAUGACGUAUUCAAAUCAGUUUGACUCUUUUUUUACUCUGAUGUGUUUUAUAGUUUUUUUUAUAAAUAUUAUAUUUAAAUUAAAUAAUUUUUUUAAUUAUGUUUCACAUAAAUUUUAUAUAAUAUAUAAAAUUUGAUAUGUAUGCAUUGCGCAUAAAUAUUAAUAAUUAAACUUAUUAUUACUAAUUUAUUGUAUAUAAUAUUUCUCAUGUAAUUCUUAUAUGCAUGAAUUGGAAAAUCAAAGAAUGUUUUGUUUAGAAUCAUUAUUAUAAAAAGAUUUAAAAUAGUUUCAAUUAAUAAUAAAUAUUAAAAGAAAAAGUAAUCAAUAAGAAAAUAUAUCUGCUUACAGUGUUGACUUCAAUUAGUUGAAAUGAUCAUUAAUAGAAAAAUAUGAUAAAAAUUGUCACGACCCCACCCGUGGGCCCGUGACCGGCACUAGGGAAUGGGUAGGCUUAAGGCCACCGAAACCCGUAGUAAGCCUGACACUCACUGAUUUAAACAAAUCUCAUCUCAAAUUAAUAUUAUUAAAACCACAAAUCAUCUUAAUAGCUGCAUUCUACAUAAAUACUUCGGUCUGCCAGAAAAACUAGGCGAGACCCGAAGCUCAGAAAAAUUUACAACUGAUACAUCUACUAUUACUACUGCGGAGAAUCUAAGAUUUACCAAUUUACAUACCAAAUCAGAUACGUCACCCGAUGAUGAAGGAGUCGGGUUACUGAAUAAGAGUCGCGGGAGAACUAACAGUCACAAAUCUGAAAAACAGUAAAAAUGAGACUGUCAGUCUCGAGAGUGAGUUAAAAUCAAAUAAUCUGGGGACUAUUGCAUUCUUCUCAGAAAACAUAGAUUAUUCAAAUCAGUAUAUCAAACCAUACUAUAAUCAUACCCUACUAUAUCCUUCACAUAAAAUAUUAAUCAUUCGAAUCAAAAUAUCAACCAUGCACGUAAAUACAAUCCAUAUUAUAAUCAUACCAUAAUAAAUAAAUAAAUGAAUAAAUAAAAAUAUAUUUUUAUUUUUACGGGACGAGUGGCUCAGUAGAACCCUAACCCCAAAUUCUAAUAGCCUUUCGGCUCUCUUAAUCCAACAGGUCUGGCGCCCAGAGAGCAAGCUCGAUCAGGGUCCUUACCUCCAGCCUGAACACUUGAAUUCCAAAUAAGCCGGCGCCCAGAGAGCAUCGCUCGAUCAGGGACCUUAACUCCGGCAAUCAACUGAACUCAGCCCAGAGAGCAAUGCUCGAUCAGGGCAGACAAAUCCAUAAUAAUCUUAUAUCCAUGAUCAUUACCGGUGCGCACACGGUCCUGAUGUAACCCAUCAGGCGGCAUGUUCUACAAGCCACAUUUCCCAAAUCGCAAUCACCACAUUUAAUAAAUAUCAUUAUCUGAUGAACUCAUCCAACACAUAUCGAAAUAAAGAUUAAAGAUUUAAGAUAAAACAACGUGCAAUUUGUGAGGAGAAAAAUAAUAACGUUUGUCUUAUUAUAACAUACUAAUAAUAAUAUUUAUAUUAUUUCAAAUAUUAAUAAUCAAGUGAAAUCAUUUAUCUUGCGAUACUAAUAAUCAUAUUAAGCACAAAUUCUAAAUAGCAUAUUAAAAUCAGACUAGCAAUAGCGCAAAGAUUAAAUGACUUUAACUCACAGGAUUGGGCGACCUCCUAGCUCUGCUCCGGUGCCUCGGUUGGAGCGAGCCGAACAGACAGAUCAUCUAAUCACGGAAAAUAAUUUAUCAAUACGCUGAGAUAAUCGAUCAUUAAUCCUAGGUCUAGACUCCUAGGACUGACUGUCUAAGAAUCUCGACUCGGGAGAAUUCUACCGAACAUCCGGCAGAACCUCCCCUACAACACGAACAUUACCCCCCGUAAAAACGGGUCCAGGACCUGCCAGAAGGACACUUCCAAUAUCCAACAAUUUAAACAACGGGAGUCGGGUCCCCAAACUUCACUAUUUCCCGACCCCGCCACACAGCACAAAAUACGAGGCAGACAAACUGACAGACAAAUAUUUAUGACUCACAAAUAUCAUCAAGUACUCAAUAUAAUCCAAUAGACAUAAUUAAACCAAGAAUUUCUAAAAUUAACGGGCCAAAGAUAAUUACCGAGACGCUCGAUCGCUCGGUCGACUCGCCUCCAGCCGCCGGAGUCCGAUCGACGAUCCAAACACACCAUCGGACUCACAACGACGCGCUGAUGACGAUCCCCGCUUCCGAUUUCCGAUCUGACACCCGAUCAUCCGGAGAGAUUUGCGAACGAUCUCGACCGUCGAUUCGCAAUGAAGCCCGAUUGCCACGAAACCAGUGCCAUCGCGAAGCUUGAGCAGAGGAGAGUCGGGAUAUGUCCUCCGAUCAUCCAUCCUCCGCCGGAGCUCGCCGGAAAAGCCCAAAAACGCCGGCUGCCACCAUUAUCUCUCUCCACCGGAUCUUCCGUCUCCGGCCACCACAGGCGUCGCCGCUGCUGCCAAAAGAAAGCUCUCGCCGAGAGGAGCCGAUCGCCACCUAACUCGGCCGCCAACAACGCCGGAAACGGCCGGAAACACGCCUGGAAGCCGCUGCCACACGCGCGAUUCUCGCCGCCUCACGCUAUCGCUGGAGCCGCUGCUGCCGCCGCCGCUGCGCUCGCCAGCGCACGCCGCUCCGUCGGCCAGCGCUCCACGCCCCCGACGGUCGCCACCGACGACGCACGCCGCCGCCUUCCUCCCCUUCUUCUUCGGCCAUCGCCCUCUCUCUCUCUCUCCCGAUCUACUUUCUCUAUCCCCGAUUUCUUUCCCUUCAAUAUCGACAUUUGACCCCUGAACUUUUCCUUAUUACAAUUUGGUCCCUCAACUUUCUUAAUUACUUACAAUUUCAUCCUGCAUAAUUCCAAUUUGACCCCCAAACUUCUUUUUAGCCUUUCAAUUAAGCCCCUAGCUAUUUAAUUUGGGCCAAAUCCGAAUUAUUGAAAAUACACAAUUACAAAAAUACCCCUGACCGACAUAUUUAUUUACAAAAAUACCAAGCUCACAAAUUUCCAUUAAAACCCCAUAAAAAUAACAUUAUACUUUCAAUCCUUAUUCCAAAAUAAAUUUCCAAUUUAGUCCUAACACAUAAUUAAAUUAAAUAAUCAAUUUCCAACUUAAAAUUUAAUACUACUAAUCAAUUAUAAUACCAAUUUUCCCAAAAUUCUUUUAUUAAAACACCCUUUAUAAUUUCUUCCAAAAUUUUUCAAUAUAUAAUUUUACUUAUAUAAAUGUGCAUUUGGGAAAAUUUGAAUAACCAAAAUAUAAUCAUUUCUCAAAUAAUUUACUUGAAUAAUUUCUUAAAAUUUCAAACUAAUUGGGUAUAGAAAAUAACUCAUUUAUUUGAUUAAUAUUAAAUUUUUCAUUAAAUCAUUUCAAAUUAAACCCAAUAAUAAUGAAGCUAAAAUUAACUUAAAUAAAAACUCAUUAUUAAAUAUAUAAAAAAAAAAUUCCGGGUGUUACAAAAAUACAAACAAAAAUAUUGUAUUCACAAUAUAUUCUAAAUAGAUUAAAUAAUACUUUGCUAUAUUAUUAAAUCACAUACUCAAAUUAUUUUAGAAGCUUAUUUUUAUUAUUUAAUUAUAAAUUUUAUACAAUUAAUUAAAAAUUAACCACUUUUAUUAGUGACAACUUAGCACUUAUAAAUUAUUUAUUAUUCUAAUUCUUUAAUUAUAUUUCCAUCAGCCACUUGAUAACAUUGUACACUAAUUGUAGUCUUUUAUGAGCAUAAUGUACUAUACAGUUUUCUCAGAAAGUUUGUUAGUCUAAUUGCCAAUCAAAUGCUGCCAUAUCAUCAUGCUUCAUGGAUUCUAAUGAGAAUCAGUUCAACAUUUGCAAGAACUAAUUCAUUUCACCCACUAGAUGGACUCAAUUUGUGUUUAUAAUUUUUUUAUUUUAAUCUCUAAUAUAUUGCUAAUAUUUAUUUAUUUUUUUUCUAAAUUCUUUUUACAAGAGGUCAGAAUUUGCUUAAGGUUUGGAGUUCAACUUAGAUUUUUUACUCAACGGCUCAAUUCAACUCCCUGUAGUGCAGCUCGUGCCUUUUGCUAGAAAGUACAAAAUUAUAUUUUAUAUUUAAUAAUAAAUUAUAAUUUACUAUAAUAUAUAUAGUAUUAUAUAUUUUAUUAAUAUUAUAUAUGUUAUGGAUUAUACGAUAUAAUAGAAAAGACAAAAGUACAUAUAAAUCUUCAAACUUUUAGCCAAUAAUUACACUUUUAAAUUUUGAAGUAAUUCAAUUAAAUCUGUAAAGUUUAAAAACAUAAUAAUUAUAUUUUUAGAGCUAAUUUCUAUUGGUAUUGAUUUGUCUUUAUCAUUAUCAUUUUUUUUCUUUUAGUUCCUAUUCAUUAAAAGCAAAGUUAAUAAUUUCUCACAUAUACAAAACGUGAGUUAGAAAAAGUUAAAACAUUUUCUUUUAGCAUUUAAAAUAAACGAAAGUAAAAUAAACGAAAUCCACUUUAAAAAUAUAAUUAUUCUAUAUAUUAAACUUUAAUGAUGUACUCGCUCUAUUUUAAAAUUUAGGGAUUUAUUUACGCUUUGACAAAAAAUUAAGAGACUUAUGUGUACCUUUUACCAAUGGAAAAUAAUUAAAAAUAACUUUUUUAAUUUUUGCAUAUAAAAAGAUAGGGUAAUAUUAUAUGUACAUUUUUUCUUGGUAACCAAUAUAACCUAUUUUUUAUUAUAUUUUAUUCAGGAGAUCGCUCUUUCUUCUUUCCCAUAUUACUGUAAUUAGUGCAUAAACUGAUAAUGCACAAUGGUGUUCCAUGACUUGACUCGGUCUUUUUUUCUUUUUUUUUCUUUUCCUUUUUGGAAGUGCUGGUAUUUUCCUAAGAAAAAUUAAGCUGGGAGUCAAUAUCUAACAGUUUCUUUUGUUUAAAAAGAGAAGAAGAAAAACGUCAUUAGCUUUAAAGGGAUAAAAGGCAAUGCCUAGUUUCUUCCUGUGCUGUGAAUUUGUAAUAUUUUACUUUUGUAAUAUAUGUUUAAUUAAAACAUAAUUCUGGAUAUAUGCUAGUUGGUGGAAAUAUUCGAUAAAUGUUGGAAAUCUAUAUAAAGUAAUUAAGGUUAACAGUUUAAUUCUCCUAAAUAAUCUGGUUUUUUCUUUGCAAUAUUUUUCCAAAUGAUUCAAAUAUAAAAACAGAAAAGAAAAAAAAAAAAAAGAGAAUAAAUGAAAUAACAAGAGAACAUAAAAUGAAAAGGCAAUCUUUAUUCAUCUGAAAGGAACAUUAAUUGAUUUCUGCCUAGAUGGCAGUACUUUUAUCCUAUCUAAAACUUAAUCUAAGGACUAAUUAUGAUAAUGAUGUUGAUAAUCAUUCUCUAAUCACUCAAAUAAUGACUAAGAUCAUGCUGAUGGAGUUGCUGGAGCUGGAGCUGAUGGUGUGGAUGGAGUUGGAGGACUAGAGCAAUGUUGCUUCAAAAGACCGCCGAAAAAUGGGUUGCUAAAAUGAGCAAAAAUAGGUGACACGCAGUCCUGCUUAAUGGCAUCAACAACGCUGCAGCAACUGGCGUCGAGAUUGAUGUUAUGGGAAGCAUAAGAGUGCAGAAUCUGGUUCACACAGCCUUGUUCGACAUGGAAA